rnacentral:rRNA from 1 species
UACGUAGGGGGCAAGCGUUGUCCGGAAUCAUUGGGCGUAAAGCGCGUGUAGGCGGCCCGGUAAGUCCGCUGUGAAAGUCCAGGGCUCAACCCUGGGAUGCCGGUGGAUACUGUCGGGCUCGAGUGUGGCAGAGGGGGGUGGAAUUCCGCGUGUAGCAGUGAAAUGCGUAGAGAUGCGGAGGAACACCGAUGGCGAAGGCAGCCCCCUGGGCCAACACUGACGCUCAGGCACGAAAGCGUGGGGAGCAAACAGG